GACGAACGCUGGCGGCGUGCUUAACACAUGCAAGUCGAACGGAAAGGCCCUGCUUUUGUGGGGUGCUCGAGUGGCGAACGGGUGAGUAACACGUGAGUAACCUGCCCUUGACUUUGGGAUAACUUCAGGAAACUGGGGCUAAUACCGGAUAGGAUCUCCUGCUGCAUGGUGGGGGUUGGAAAGUUUCGUCGGUUGGGGAUGGACUCGCGGCUUAUCAGCUUGUUUGUGGGGUAGUGGCUUACCAAGGGUUUGACGGGUAGCAGGCCUGUGAGGGUGACCGGCAAAAUGGGGACUGAGAUACGGCCCAGAAUGCUACGGGAGGCAGCAGGGGGGAAUAUGGCACAAUGGGCGGAAGCCUGAUGCAGCAACGCCGCGUGCGGGAUGACGGCCUUCGGGUUGUAAACAGCUUUCGCCUGUGACGAAGCGUGAGUGACGGUAAUGGGUAAAGAAGCACCGGCUAACUACGUG
rnacentral:rRNA from 1 species